rnacentral:rRNA from 1 species
UACGUAGGGUGCGAGCGUUGUCCGGAAUUAUUGGGCGUAAAGAGCUUGUAGGCGGUUUGUCGCGUCUGCUGUGAAAAUCCGGGGCUCAACCCCGGACUUGCAGUGGGUACGGGCAGACUAGAGUGUGGUAGGGGAGACUGGAAUUCCUGGUGUAGCGGUGAAAUGCGCAGAUAUCAGGAGGAACACCAGCGGCGAAGGCGGCGUUCUGGGCCGGAACUGACGCUGAGGAGCGAAAGCGUGGGUAGCAAACAGG